ensembl:snRNA U6 U6 spliceosomal RNA
GUCUCCGUUCAGAGCACAUAUGCUAAAACUGGAAUUGUACAGUGGUCAUCGUGGCUCCUGCACAAGGACGACAUGCAAAUUUAUGAAGCAUCCUGUUAAAAA